rnacentral:rRNA from 1 species
CGGCGGACGGGUGAGUAACACGUGGAUAACCUACCUAUAAGACUGGGGUAACUUCGGGAAACCGGAGCUAAUACCGGAUAAUAUAUUGAACCGCAUGGUUCAAUAGUGAAAGACGGUUUUGCUGUCACUUAUAGAUGGAUCCGCGCUGCAUUAGCUAGUUGGUAAGGUAACGGCUUACCAAGGCAACGAUGCGUAGCCGACCUGAGAGGGUGAUCGGCCACACUGGAACUGAGACACGGUCCAGACUCCUACGGGAGGCAGCAGUA